UAGUGUAAUAAGUCAAUGCAAAGAGCAUACAUAUAUAAUGAAAAAGAAAGCAAAGAAAGCUAAAAAGAGCACGACAGAUAAAAUGCCAAAGAUUGAAUGAACACUACUAUUAGUUGCAAAGUAUAAUUGAGAAAAAAAAAUGGAUGGAAAAUGAAAUGCCAUGACAUCCACAAGCAAUAUAGCAAUUAGUGUAAUACGGAAAAAUGGGCAACUAGUGAAAAGUGAAAGUUUACAUACAUAUUUGUUUAAAAAGUCCUUCAUUUUUUUCCUUUAGUUGAAAUUUUUUAUUGUUUCAAUUAUUUUUCCUUACAUUUUGCUAUAUAUGUACUUGCGCAUAUGUAGCUUUAUACUAUAUAAUUUAUUUGAGUUCGUAGCUUAAAUUGUUUAAAUUGAAAAGAAAAAAAAUAUAACAUUACAUUAGGAGUUACAAAAUUUAUUAGUCGUGCUCAAAGUAGCUGCUAUUGCUGUGUCACAGUGAGAGUAAAUUUAAAAAAAAUAUAGUUAGAUAAACAUAUAACAAACGAAAAUUUUAAGCAAAAGUUUGCGUUAGAAAAGAAUUAAAAACAAGCAAAUUAAUUUUGAUUAUACAUAAAUACUUUUUUUUUAAUAUACAUAGAGCAGCAUGUAUAAGUUGCGAAGCAAGGAAGCGUGGUGCUGCUUAAAAAAUACAAACGAAUUUAGUACUUACAUUAACUAUACAUAUACAACAUAUAUAUUUGCAAAAACACAUAUGUAUAUGUUUAAUUUAGUUAACAACAUUUAACAUUUAACGUGAAUAGCCAACAGCUAUGCAAUGCAGCCCACUUCCACUUCCACUGUCUUACUCUUUCUUGUGUUUAGUUAGUGUUUUUGUUGAACAUAUAUUUUUUUACAAUUAACUAUGCAAGUUUUAAAGUAUUGUAUUUGUUAUAUUGUGCUUUAACAACACAAUUGUGUUUACUUACUUACUUACUUACUCACACACACACACUUUACAAACAUUUAUUUUAACUAUUAGAAUUCUUAUUUCAUUUUGUUUGACAAAACUUACAUAUAAACAUUUACUUAUAUAUCUACAUAAUUAUGUUAAUCUGUGUUCGUUUAUUGUACUAAUCACGUGCUUAUGUAUAGUAAUUUUUCAUUUGACUUUGGUGCUGGUGUAAUAUUUGAAUUUGUUUUAUUAUUAUUUAUAUUUAAACAAAUAUUCACUUAAGUUAAACAGUUAUGUAUAUUAUUACUAUUAUUAUUUAAACAGUAUUUUUUCGAAAUCAUUUACUAAAUAUGUACAUUUACCGCUUAACGCAGUUGUUUAGCAGAGUUUCAGUUUUUUUUUUUUAAUUUUUUUUCGAACUAGAAUUCCAGCUUUUUUGCAAGUAGUAGUUUUGACACAUUUUUUCACUUCGUACAUACAUACAUAUGUAUAGUCGAAAUUCAUACAGUCAUAAAAAAAAUAUAUAUUCAUUUUUUUAUUCCAAAUUGUUAUAUCAAGUCAGUCUGUCCGCCGUUAUCAAACAAUUUUUUUUUAAUUUUUCAAAAUUUUUAUAUAAUUUUUUGAAAAUAUCCUCACGUCCACAAUACAUAAAACUUAUUUCAUAUGUACACAAAACUCAUUUUGCUUCUCCAUAUAUCACAUGUGUUUUUUUUUUUGUAUUAACACCAAAACGUUAGAUAAGCUGGUAACGUAAGCUCUCAUUAUCACCAACUCAUAUGCUGUUUUCCGUUAGUUUUUUCUUGGGAGUACAUUGAGUUUUUGUUCUUUGAAAGCUAGGCUUCGUUCAAAAUUCCAUGCUUACAAUUUUCUUAUAAUUUUUUUUUUAUAAUUUUGUUUUUAUAUAUUUUUUUAUAAAUUUUUCUCAUAUUUUUUUUUAUAAAAAACAUUUCACAUAGCAAUUGCGUUUGUUUUUUAUGUUUUAAUGUAUGUAAAUAAGCAGUUAAUGUGUGUAAAAUUGUUUCAAAAAAAAAAAAAAAUACAUACGCACACAUAUACAUACAUCCAUACACGUAUUAUAUAUGGCGUUAUGUACGUGCGCAGCUGGUUGCAUGCUCUAACGCCUGCUGUGCAUAUAUAUAAGCUGAGGAGCUGUGAGCUAUGGCUGUAAGCUUGGCCACAACAACUACAAAGUGUUUUAAUUUUUAUUUAUAAAUUUUUGUAUUAAGUUAUACAUAUAUUUUUUGAUUUAUUUUCGUUGGUUGACGGGACUCAAUUUUUUUAGUUUUUUUUUCAUAUUUAUAUUAUUUUAAGUGGCAAAUUUAAGCAAAGUAAAUGCGUUAGAAUGUUAGGAACCGCGCGUUUGGUUGGCUAUGUCCCACCAAAUAUUCGCUAAGCUUUUUAGGCGCGUUACGUUCACCCACUUUUUCGUGUUUUUUCUUAAGAAUACGCGACUUUCCGCGUACGAAAGUCGUGUAAUUUGUAUGAGUUCUGUUUUAUCAGUGUUUAAAGUGAAAAAAAAACAAACAAGUGCUUCCAAGUGCUAAUAAGUUCUGUGCAAAUUGCAAUUGAAUGGAAGCUAUUGUGUGUGUUUUCACCUGCAUAUUAUUUGGCUGGCUGUUCUUCUGUACGUGUUGCCUGUUACCUGCCUGCUGCCGCGGCUUUUGGCUGAAACAUGUAGCUGUUGGCAUGCGUUAAGCGUGCUGCAGCGAGGUACUGUGAGUUUCAUGCCACAACAUCUUCAUCAUCACCAAUCAACACAAACAACAAAAGAGCAUCACUAGCAACGCAGCAGCAAGCUGUCGCCAAAUCAGGUGAGUAUUCUUUGUUCAACGGUAUCGGUUGGACAAGGUGCACAUUUCAAUGGAAUAUUUAAUGUAUAUUAAAUUUUCAUUAUUAUGCUAAUGCAUCCUGUCACACACACACCACACUGUCUGUACAACGUAUUUUACAUACAUACAUACAUACAUACACAUAUACACAUAUAUGGUAUAUAUAUUAUAAAAUCCUUGUAUGCCAUUUUCAAGUUCCUGUAAUCCUUGCUAUCUUCCCUUCAACAUUAUUUAUCCAUAUUUUCAUAAAUACGUUCAUACAAACAUACAUCUAUCACCGUUCAUUUGAAUGUCGGCAAUUGUUAUGUUUUUUGAAUCAUCUUAUACAUAUUUUAAGUACACAAUAAGUGUAAUAUUAUUUAAAUUUAGCGUCUUGGUAAAAACGUUUCGUCGUUUGAUUUCUAAUUUUUCGUCGAAUUUUCUCUUACGUGUUGUAAGUCUCUCAUUAUCGACGCUCGGCUUGGUUGGUUGUAAAGGUGCUCCAACUGUUAUGGUAUGGGUAUGCUUUAAACAGCCUGACGUAGUCUCCCACAACAUCGAGAAGUGCAGUAUGAAAAAUAGGUAUCUCUCAAGUGAGCGCAAAUAUCUUAAAGCUUGCACUUGGAAAUAUAAAAUUGUAUGGUAUGGUAUUCAUAAUAUUAUGCUGUGGUUAAUUUUUUGCGAGUUAGAUAUGUAGGUUACUUUUAACAUUGAUGUAAUAUUCCGAUCAAUAUUUUAGAACACUAAGAUAUGAGUAUAAAAGAAUUCCCGUUUCAAACUUUUUUGAAAUUUCAAGCUAAAAGAUGUUUUGAAACAUUGAAAUCAACAAAUUCCCGUUUCAAACAUUUUCCAAUAACGGAAUUUAACGAAUGUUGAAGCUAGUAAAAGUUUUCGAACUCCAAAUAAUGGAAUUUAACGAAAUGUUUAAAUAAUUUUGAAAUUAAACGAUUUCUCUUCAAUACCAAAUAAUUGACUUAAACGAAAUUUUCAAAAAGUUUUGAAGCUAAACGUUUUCGAACAUCAAAUAAUGUACUUCAACAGUUUUUGGACACCAAACAAUGGAAUUUAACAAAAAUUUCAAAAAAAUUUGAAGCUAAGAAAUGUUUUUGAACACAAAAAAAUGGAAUUUAAAGAAAUUUUCAAAUAAUUUUGAAGUUAAGCGUUUUCGAAUAAAAGAAAACAUGGAAUUUAACUUAUUUUUCAAAAAGUAUUGAACUUAACAAAAGUUUUCGAAACCCAAAUACUGGAAUUUAACGAGUUUUCCAAAAAGUUUUGAAACUGAAAAUUAUUUCUGAACCCUUUAUGAGCAAUUGCACGAUUUAGUUUCAACGCUUCUCUCCAAAUAAUAGUUUUUCAAUAUUUUCGAAACCAAUAAAACGAUACUUUAAAUUAAAAUACCUGAAAAUAAUUUUGGUUUCGAAAAACAUGUUCGAACUGCAACCACUAACUCAAAUUACAAUAAUUCAAAAAUUAUACAGCGCUGAGCCUUUUUUUCUUAUAAUACAAAACACAGAUAUUUUCUGCUAUAUUUAUUCAACUCUCCUCAACUCGGGUGUAGCGAAAAUUUAAAAAUAGAUUAUUUUUGAAAAUACAGCCGCCGUUAUCUUACAUAUAUACGUACAUGUAGCACAUAAAUCAAUUGUAGAAAUUACUGCAUUACCUCGAGUUGUUUGUGUGGGGUCACUAUGUGUGUAUUAUAUUUUGAAAAAAAAAAAAAAAUGGUGUUUACAAAUACUGCGUCGAUACGAAAGUCGAAAAUUUGAAGAAGCAUAUACAUAUAAACGAGAUAGUUGCAUAUAAUUGCAACGCUGCCAAAAACUACAACGCUGAUUGUCGAAUUGUCGUCGGCGACACGUCGCUGGUUGUGACGAAGUAUCGUCAUAUGAACAACAACAUAAUGUAAUUGCGUGAGUCAAAUGUUAGACGUACGAAGUCAAGAAGAGCUAGAAGAUCUGUGAAGAGGAAGAGCUUUGCUACCCAACCGGAAUUAGGCACUUCCAUUAGAGCGCAGAGAGCUAUUUCUGUUGCUACAGCCGCCGCCG